rnacentral:rRNA from 1 species
CCUACGGGGGGCUGCAGUGGGGAAUAUUGGACAAUGGGCGCAAGCCUGAUCCAGCAAUGCCGCGUGAGUGAUGAAGGCCUUAGGGUCGUAAAGCUCUUUUACCAGGGAUGAUAAUGACAGUACCUGGAGAAUAAGCUCCGGCUAACUCCGUGCCAGCAGCCGCGGUAAUACGGAGGGAGCUAGCGUUGUUCGGAAUUACUGGGCGUAAAGCGCACGUAGGCGGCUACACAAGUCAGAGGUGAAAGCCCGGGGCUCAACCCCGGAACUGCCUUUGAAACUAGGUGGCUAGAAUCUUGGAGAGGUCAGUGGAAUUCCGAGUGUAGAGGUGAAAUUCGUAGAUAUUCGGAAGAACACCAGUGGCGAAGGCGACUGACUGGACAAGUAUUGACGCUGAGGUGCGAAAGCGUGGGGAGCAAACAGGAUUAGAUACCCUAGUAGUC